rnacentral:rRNA from 1 species
AUGCAGCAACGCCGCGUGAGUGAUGAAGGCCUUCGGGUCGUAAAACUCUGUCCUCAAGGAAGAUAAUGACGGUACUUGAGGAGGAAGCCCCGGCUAACUACGUGCCAGCAGCCGCGGUAAUACGUAGGGGGCUAGCGUUAUCCGGAUUUACUGGGCGUAAAGGGUGCGUAGGCGGUCUUUCAAGUCAGGAGUGAAAGGCUACGGCUCAACCGUAGUAAGCUCUUGAAACUGGGAGACUUGAGUGCAGGAGAGGAGAGUGGAAUUCCUAGUGUAGCGGUGAAAUGCGUAGAUAUUAGGAGGAACACCAGUUGCGAAGGCGGCUCUCUGGACUGUAACUGACGCUGAGGCACGAAAGCGUGGGGAGCAAACAGGAUUAGAUACCCUGGUAGUCCACGCUGUAAACGAUGAGUACUAGGUGUCGGGGGUUACCCCCUUCG